AUCACAAGAUCACAGGAGGUAUGACAAAAACGUAGCCAUAUCCAGUGCCUACAUGCUCUUACCUCACCUGCACAGCUUCUGGGAUUUCUUUUUGAGAGGCAGGAGAGGGGUGCUUGGCAGUGCUGCCCAUGGAUGCCAGACUACAGCUUCUGAACUCACAGCACCUAGGGGAGGGUACUUGCAUGUAGCAGCUCUGUUAAAAAAAAAAGAGCUAGGGUACUGCUUGUCAGCUGAAAACCUCCAGGAACUGCCCAUGGAGGAAUGAAGAAGUUGCAUUUGCACACCUGGAGGCAUGGACAGACUUUCUGUUUUGAAGGACUUCAAGGGAUAUUGGCUGUACUAUCUAGGUCUCAACCUGGAAAUGCUCUGCAUGCUCUGAAAUACCAUGUUCUUCCAGCGAUAUCUCCAGUGAGUACCAAAUUUUGUGGAUGCCAACGGAAUCACCAUGCCAUUGCAACUGAUUUAAAGAUAAGCAUCAGAUACAAGUCAUUUAUUAUUAAUCAGAUUAUGCUUUUGCCUUGAAAGCAAAAAAUACGUGAAAGUAAAUCACCUUUUCUCCUUGUGGGUUUUCCACAGAGGGAUAUGUAGUUCCUCACUUCCAGUAGUACCUUUGACCACAUGACAGCCUUCAGAUGAAGCUAUGUCUGGGUACUCACUUCACUUCAGACAUUAGGAUGGACUUUUUCUACUACAUAUUGGACAGUUGGACUACUUAUAUUAAGGAACCCUUAGCAAAUACCUUUGUGUAUUGCUUAGUUUGCUUGCAGUGGAGCUUUUGUCACAGACUAUCCAAAAGGAAUGUCUUUCAGCAUCGGAGAUCAUGGUUUGAUUUCUGACCAAACUGGUCAGCUUCCUCCCCAUCAGGGAAAGCUUGCAAAAGGAUUAGGGCUCUAUAUGAUGAAGCAAAUCUAUGAAAAAUGCCACCAAAACUUGUUUGAAUUUGUUACUAAGUAGCCAAUAAAAUUAAUUUCAUGUAGAAUCCAAAGACACUCUGGCAAAGUCCAAGAAAUUAAAAAAAGGUAGAGAAGGGGUUCAUCUGUAAAGGUUUGUAAUUUAAUCCAACACACUGGCUUUAAAUAUCUUUCAUGAUGUGGAAAUCAUAGAGGUUUGAUUUCUGUUUAGGCAGCUGGACUUUGGUUGGAUAUUACAGGCUUCAUCAUCCUGAUGAUAUUCUAUUCCGAGCUGUUUCAUACUGGAUUUCUUUCACUGUCUGCCCAGUGUAAACAGCAGUUGUUAAAGGGCUUGUCAGUGCAUUUCUGCAUUGCCUGAUACACCCUCCUGUUACGCUUGGGCUGACCUUUGAAAGCCUUCAAUCACAGCAGAAGCUGCAACAAGGAAACUACGUUAAUAAAAAUAGCACUUUUGUGCUAAUUGAUUCCAGACUGCACAACAGCUCCUACUGCAAAUAAGGAGCAAGGAGCGCGCUGGCAAAUAGGAGGUUUAGAGCAGAAAACUACAGUAGCCAAGUUAAUCCAGGAAGCACAAGGGCAUCAGAAUUCUGUGAAUUUUUAUCUACUUUCCAAAUCGCCCAGAAGUGUCACGUAAUUGCACAACUGUCCUUUGAUUUCUAUGUGGAAUGAUUCUUCCUCUCAUAAAGCUGAGACCUCUACAACAUCACUGUGUUGUCCCAAGGCCUUGACAAGGUCACAGUGGCAGCUGGGGAUGCCUGGGGGAUCCUUCCUGAUUAGCUGGUGUGGAGACCCCCACACUCCUCAGACCUGCUGUAUGCAUUCCUCAGUUUCCAUCCUUGAGGAAGAGCCAGGACCACCAAGUUAGUUGCAGGAGAGCAAAUGAAAGCAUUCCCAGCCUCACGCUGCUGUGCUAGGAAAUUUUUGCUAUGGAAGGUAUUGAUGAUAUUGUAGGAAGAGAUUAGAGCAGGGCUGAGGUGCAGUAAAUCUGUCCCACUAUCCGUUGAUCAUAUUUAUGGUGCAGAACGAGUCUUGCAACUCUUUCAAGGGCAAGCAAGACUUGCCUAGGGGAAGCCACGUUGUUGACAAAGCAGCCAGAGAGUAAUUUCAGUGCAAGGAGACACCUUGUGCAGCUGCCUGUUUUUGCAGGUCUGAGGCCAGCCUUUACAGCUCUGGAGAGUGUGACUGAGUUGCUGACCAAGUGCUGCGAUGAUGAUAAUUCAGAUGUUUUUUAGCACAAUCUACAUAAUCUGUUUUUGCAUAUGAUGCUGUGUUUAUAAUACAGGAAUAUCCCAGCAAAUUAAUUGAAUUCAAGGAGUGUUUCCCAGGGUAUGCAAGUAUAGGUUGGAAAGUUCAACCUUUAAUUCAGGUGGUCUAAGUUUUCCUGGGAUUUUAGUUUUAAGUCACUGCAAUAGAGACAGAAAAUAGAUAAUUUUUUCCAGGAAAACCACUUAUUUAGAUGAUAUUAACACUCACAAUGUCCUGGGUGUUCUGUAAAGCUGAUGUCUAUAAAACUCUUCGUAUACAAAGAUAUAUAUUUGUAUUUAUAGUUUCUCCCAAACCUAAUAGUAUUUCACACAGUUGGUACAUUCAAGAAAAAUACCUGGAAAACUCACAAGUUGAAAAAAAAUAUAUAAAAUCAUUAAAGAUGCUUGGUUUUAGUUAUUAUUUUCAUUUUUUUUUUAUUAUCAUCAGCAAGGUCCAGAGCCAGCCAGAUUUUUCUGCAAUGUGACAUCGAUGGUAUUUAAUUUGUUUAUAUUUUCUAGCACUUUUUCUUCCUGUGCCUUCCUUUUAAAUUUGAAAUGGUCACUUCAUUUCUAAGGGAGGCUGACAACCAUUUUGUUCUCUAGAGAAUAUCUCUUUCACCAAUGUGUGAAAGCAUAAGAACCCACUCCAAAAAAGUUUGCUGUUUUCUAUUUACAGGUACAAGUGGUCAGCUUUUAAACUACUCUAAUAUUUGUUGAUCUGCAACUUUCUUUUCAGAUAAAAAUGUAUCUGCUGAGCUUUAUGACUGGGUGAUAUUCAAAAAAUGUCAACACAUUUGGCCUCCACAUUUUUCUAAAGAAGAAGACAUCGUUCAUGUUCAAAAAUCCAAUAUUCAGUCUUUACAUCUGUGACUGCACUAAGGGCCUAUUCUUCAUUUGGCUUCAUUAGGAAUUAUGUUUUUAGAAAUAUCCUAUAUAUUUAUGGAAGUAGAAGGAUGGGCUCCAUGUUUUAGAUUGGAACUCAAACACUAAAACAUGCCUGAAGGUGUCUCUGAUUAAUAUUUGCCCUUGAACCUUCCUAACUCCCAUCUGAGAUGCUAUCCUGCCACUGCUCUCCAGAUCCCCAUUGCUGCUCUCUUUAGGGCAUGUUUAAGGUUAAGGUGGUUUGCAGCUUCAGAGAAGAAGCUGAAAACCUAGAAAAGCUAAUGUUUUUCCUGUGAUAAAGGCAGGAGCAGCCUGAAAUAGCACAACCCACUCUGUGUUGCUCUCUGCUUGGUCUUCUUGGCUUGCUCUUGUUGGCCUCCUCUGAGGGACAUGACUGUGGUACAGUAAUUGCAGAUGCCUCUUGCAAUGAAGAGGAGCCUUCAGAUAAAGCCUUUCAUGCUACAAAAACAUGGGGUCAGCUUUUAAAGACAUUUAAGCAUGCCAAGAUGUGGACAGGCAGAAAUGAGAUUUUAAAAAUUCAUAGGUACCUCAUUUAGAUAUUUAGAAGCUUUGAAAAGGCCACUUUAUGGUUUCUUUGCCCAAAUGCACCUCAAAAGUCAGGUCUUUAGGGCAGGACAGACUACUGUUUGCAAACACUUGGUUUCUCAAACUCUAAUUUUUUCCUUCCAUUUGUAAGUCAUCCAGAAAUAUGGCCCUUUCUAACAAAAGAAAGCAAUAAAAUUAUUUAAAAUGGGUUGCUGAGCUGUUUUGUGGACAUUUCUGAGCUAUGCAUUGCCAUUUGUCAGCUGUUUGCAGUAAACAUUCAGUUGACUCUUUGAUGUAGGGUUUGUAUUUGGCUUCCUAAAUCACAAGUUCUGCAUUAUUUUCCCAGAACGGAUGAUGUAAUUUUAUAAAUGACUUCUGUUUCUUUCUAUAAUAAAUUUUCAGCAUAUAAUACA